rnacentral:pre_miRNA from 1 species
GUGAGAUGGAAUCAGCGUUUGGACAUGCGAUUUCUCACUGAUUUCAUCUCAUGA